UGCAGUCGAGCGGUACAGGGGGAGCUUGCUCCCUGCUGACGAGCGGCGGACGGGUGAGUAAUGCUUAGGAAUCUGCCUGGUAGUGGGGGAUAGCCCGGGGAAACCCGGAUUAAUACCGCAUACGCCCUACCGGGGAAAGCAGGGGAUCUUCGGACCUUGCGCUAUUGGAUGAGCCUAAGUCGGAUUAGCUAGUUGGUGGGGUAAAGGCCUACCAAGGCGACGAUCCGUAGCUGGGCUGAGAGGAUGAUCAGCCACAUCGGGACUGAGACACGGCCCGAACUCCUACGGGAGGCAGCAGUGGGGAAUAUUGGACAAUGGGGGCAACCCUGAUCCAGCCAUGCCGCGUGUGUGAAGAAGGCUUUCGGGUUGUAAAGCACUUUCAGCGAGGAGGAAGGCUCAAAGGUUAAUACCCUUUGGGAUUGACGUUACUCGCACAAGAAGCACCGGCUAACUCCGUGCCAGCAGCCGCGGUAAUACGGAGGGUGCAAGCGUUAAUCGGAAUUACUGGGCGUAAAGCGCGCGUAGGUGGUUUGAUAAGCGAGAUGUGAAAGCCUCGGGCUUAACCUGGGAACGGCAUUUCGAACUGUCAGACUAGAGUGUGGUAGAGGGGAGUGGAAUUUCCUGUGUAGCGGUGAAAUGCGUAGAUAUAGGAAAG
rnacentral:rRNA from 1 species